ensembl:lncRNA
CUGAUGUGGUGGGGGUAGGGGUCCACCCCUGACGUAGGUGUAAUACUGAUGGGUAGGGGUCCACCCCUGACGUAGGUCUAAUACUGAUAGGUGGGGGUCCACCCCUGACGUAGGUGUAAUACUGAUGGUUGGGGGUCCACCCCUGACGUAGGUGUAAUACUGAUGGGUGGGGGUCCACCCCUGAUGUAGAUGUUAUACUGAUGGGUGGGGGUCCCACCCCCUGACCUUAGGUGUGUAAUACUGAUGUGCACUUAUGUGAUCAUAAUGUCAUUUCUGUGACAUCUACACUUUGAUAAACCCUGUUGGACUCUUGUCCACCCGUCCUGCAUCCUUCUGGGAUCUUUUAUCCUUUGUUUUCGUCGUCCCCUGAUAAACUGUCUUCCAUUGAGAGAAGCCCCCCCCGCCCACCUGUUCGAAUACACUUAGGCAAUAUCCUCCAGAAAAGGACGCAAUACCUUAACAUGAAGCACUGAGUUCCUUCCUGACCCUUUGCACCCCCUACCGCAGGCUUUGUGUGUAUCAACGCAUUCAUGUAGCCACAGUGACCCCUUGUGAUCAGUGGUGUGUAAAACAUGUGGAUGUGCUGUCUUGUAACUUGUGGAAACAGAAAAAACAAGUUGAUUUGCUGCUCCGGCCUUUGACCCAAACGGCCCCCUUUACCCUCUGCUGCUAGGUGAGUUGCUUUUCAAUGAUUUUGUGUACUCAAGGGUGGAGUCGACUGUUUUGAUGCAUUUGUUCUUAAUCUAUGAAGUGAUGUACUUUUUUAAUCCUUAAUUUAUUUAUUUCCAUGUUGUCACAUUUCGGGGCCGACAGCUGCUUAUGUCUGGCUCGUAGGUAUGUGCGUUGACUACAUUUAUCCUCGCCUGGUAACCAAACUUAUUCGCGAGCUCAUGGUUGAUUUGCUCCGGCAUGUGCGAUGUGCAUUUUUGAAUUGUCAGGCUGCAUAAAUCCUGUGUGGCGCCAUUUUCUUUCAUUUAGAAAUGUGUAUUCUUUCGGCCAGUGACUCAGUAGGUAAGUCAUUGUUAUAUUUUUCAUGGCAUAGCUCACUGCCAAAGACAGAACCAGCCUUGAAGCCUGGUCCCUCGCACACCCAGUGUGUAAUUUGUGACGAAUGGCUUGAAACGGGAGGGCCUCUCUGAGGGUGUCACGGCAUACACAUCGAUUUCGAAGUCCCGCAGACUAGGGUUGUCAUGGCAAAAUGGUCGCCAUCAGUUUUUAUUUAUUUCAUGUUUCAACUAUGUGUAGUGGAUAUAUUUUAACUGUAAAUGUAUACUUCUUAUUUUAUUUGCUGGAGUGAUUUUAACCGUUUUUCUAAAGCCCACUAUGAUAGUUGGAAAUAUCUUGUCUGUUGAACUAUCAAUCAGUCAGUGAAUGCCUGCCAGAUGUGUAAAAAAAGAUAUGAAAAAAUGCAAAUUAAUAUAAGAAGACGCAAAAUUGUAAAUCAUGGUGGAGUAUUGAAGUAUGUGUGUGGAAAAAAAUGUUAAAUCUAUUAUAUGUUAUAUGCAAUGUAGC